rnacentral:lncRNA from 1 species
CCGCCCCUCGCGGCUCCCAGACCGCAGCGCAGAAAGUUUUGCUUUUCACUUGGAGGAAACCAAGGAGGGGAAGUGUGAUGGGGCAGUGUGGCCAGGGACCGAAAGACUGGGCGCUUCCCAGACCCUGGGAGUAAAAGGCGGGGUGGUCAAGAGAGGGACUUCUUCCUACCAAGUCGCGGUGAAGCCGAAGGAAAGUGACAGAUGACAGGUCGGGGGGGGUGGGAGCAGCUGUUAAAAAUGACUUGAGAAUCGAAUCUCUGGCAGCACGGGGCUGGCCAGGAGCACGGCACAAGCCUUGGCUUGUGCCAAGCUCCUGGCAGCUGGCUCACCUCCCCCAUCCCUUCCCUUUGGCUGCUUCAGCAAAGCACCUGCUACAGGACAGUGGGUACAGGAAGUGCCAGUCAGGGGUUAGGCCCGUCAUAACCUCGCCUCUGGACCCCGAGGCAAAAAUAAACCUACAAAACUGAACUGCAUGGAGUCAGCCGGAGACCUGACUGUGGGUGGAGCAUGGGGCAGUGGGAAGAAGCCUGGGAGAGUGCGUGCUGGAAGGGAGGAGCCUGUGGCCCUAGAAAAAAGACCAGGUGCUGGAAAGGUGGGCCAGAGCAGUUGCCUCUUACCAGGAACCUUCGGGUAAGCACGGGCGGAUGCGGCUGAAGUUGAUAAAGACAUGAGCAGAGUCAGGAUUUAGUGCAGUGGGUAGGGUAACAGGGUUGAAAAAGGCACUGUGUUGGUAUCCUAGUUUGCUUUACCUGUCAGUGUGACAUAGCCUAGGGUCCUGUGAGCAGAGAGCUUUAGUCCAUGAUUACCUAGAUCAGAUUGGCCCGUAUCGCGUCUGUAAGAAAGGUCUGGACAGUUAACUGGCCUUCGAAGGCCCAGCCCACUGUGGGCGGCACCAUUACCUAGGUUUCGAACUAUCCAAGAAAGCUAAGUGAGCUGAAGCCCAUCUACGAGCCAGCUGGCAAACAGCGUCCUCUGUGGUUCCUGCUAUACCUGAUUGGCAGUGAAGUGAGCUCUCCAUUGGAGGUUAAUGCUGUGUGCUAUAGCAAGCAGGCCUGCCUUAGGUUCCUGCCUUGACUCCCCUCAGUGAUGGCCUGCGAUCGAUCUGAAGUGGUCAGCUAAAACGAAUGGAACGCCUCUCCUCCUCAGGAGGCACUCCGUAGUAAAUACAGUUGAAUUGGCCAGCCUGCCAUAAACACUCUCAGGUCUACCUGACUCACUCCCGAGGAUAACUAGGCAUACCUCUGAAUAUAUAACAUAAACUGUCUUAAAACAGGGGCUGGAAAGCUGGCCCAACAGUUCAGAGCACAUAGCAUUCUUGCAGAGGAUCAGAGUUCAGUUUCACAGCAUCUAUCCUGAGUAGCUCACUGCUACCUGCAAUUGCAGCUCCAGAGGACUAAUCAGGCACCCUCUUCUAGCUAUCCCUGUCACCAUCACGCAGACAGACAGACAGACAGACAGACAGACACAUACACAAAAUGAAAAUGAAUGUUUUAAAACUUACAAAAUUAUCAGAAUCAGAUUAAAAAAAAACCUCAGUUGCCACUUUGUUCAUGAGCACCUGUACACAUGCGUGCUCACAGAUGCACACACAUAAAAGUGAAGAUAGUUUCAUCUCCUGGGAGCGCUCACCAGGAGGUGACCUCAGAGAGGAUGGCAUGUUCUGAGGAUAGCAGCCAGCCUCUUUCUCCAGCUGCCCUGUUGUUACCCCCAUGGGUUCGUGAGCAUGGUGGCCAGGGCAGGUAGGGAUGGAUGUGGCAGUGAGCUCGGCAGAGUAGAUCUUUAUUCACCCAAGCCCACCCAGCCACAGUAGCCACCAUGCCUGGCAGGAAAGACCAACACAGAGUCUAGGACACAGCACUGCCCCCUGGUGGUCAGCCAGCUUCUUAGUGCUUGCUUCCUCACAUUAAGCACUUCCAUCAGCCAAGGGGCAGCUCUAUGACCUUAUAUGUUCUCUCAUAGGGCAUUCAUGCCAAAUCCCAUGGCCCUUGGUUCAUGCCUUGUAAUCCCAGCACUUGGGAGAUUUACUGCCACAAGUUCAAAGCCAGCCUGGACUACAUUUAUUUGUGUGUUUUAUGAAUACCUGAGUCCCUGCAGAGACCCCUGUCCACUGUUACGGUGUGCCAUGCUCCGCUGCUCCCAGAGUUCAAGCAUCACAGUAGAGCACCAUGACAACAGGCCACACUCACAGCAGUCCCUAUCGUGAUAACAUUGCCAGACAGUAGAAUGCCCUUCUGGAGUCUCCAUUACAGCCCCAGGAAAGUACAGUCCCUGGAGGGGCCGUUUGUAUGUUGUGGAAAUCAUCAUCCAGUGUGACUGGCUGGAUCCUUGGACCCAGGAGUUGAGAGGCACUCCUGUUCACCUUUGAGGAUCCAUUGGGAAGGUGUGUGCAUCCUACUUCACACUCCCUGACAGCCAGUGUUGUGGUGCUCCCCUCCCCCUGGUGGGUAACGCCACAUUAAUUAAGGUUCUUAACUGCAACUCACCACAAUCAAUACAACCCAAGUCACGUACAAGGAGUUCUGCUGAGGAUCCCUGAAGUUCACAGAGGCAGAGAAGCAGGACUAGUCUGGUGCUCUGCAAAGACCUAAGCCAGCCUGAGGAAGCCAGAGGCCCCAGUAGCUGUAUCGAUGCCGCCUUCCUGGUAGCUCCUGCUUCUCAUUACUCCUGGCCUCACAAGUGUCUAAUCCAGCCACAUGGAGACCCACUUGGAGCCAACUCCAAACCUCCAGGAAUGAGAUCCUGUUGGGCCUAGUGGAAGUCACAUGCCUCCACGGUACCUAGACACAGGGGGUGAGGGCUCUCUGUCAGCAGGAUAGCCAUCCUAAACUGCAUCUACACUAAAUGCCGAGGUGAGGACCAGCUUGCUACUUGCAGGCAAACAAGGGAUGCCUUUAGGUUCCGUCUGCUCCUGACUCUCGUUCUGGAUGCUGAGGUGUGUGGCUGUCUCCACACAAAGGCUUACAGAGCACACAAGGAAGUCGUGGCUCUAUCAGUAAUUUAAAUGUUGCUGGGAAGCUCUUUGCUCUUCUUCAGGAGAACGCAGAUGAGGCAGCCUUGAAUAACUGGCUAAUAGGUAAGGCCACAGCCCAGAGUCUGUAUCAUCAUGGGCCAAACCUGCAGUUGCUCUGUGUAUACAAAUUGUAUAUCCACAGCUCUCUUCUUCUAACACAGGAGUUCCUUAUAUAGGGUUCACGUCAUCAGGCAGUUGCUGCCGUUACCAACUGCCUGCCCCUCGGGCGCAAACCAUCUCCAUCUCUCCCAGUUUGUUCCUGGCGCAGCCCUUUGUCCUGAAGUGCAAGCACUUGGAAACUUCAGCAGGUGCCCCUGGAUGAGAUCGGUCACUGUAAGUCAGAGCUUCAGACCCAGGCAACCAGGCUGCAGAAGGAAGUGCAGCGGCUUCCGACUGUGACAUUGGACUGUGACAUCGGACUGUGACAUUGAACUGUGACAUUGGACUGUGACCUGCCUCCUGCACUAGAAGAAGAUGGCUUUGCUAACUGCAGAACGUCUACAGUUGUGUGGUGUUUGGGAUUCUAGGAGCUUUUCAGAGGGUGCAGAAAUGCUAGGGCUCCUGAGAGGUGUGGUCAGAGGUUGUUGGUAAUCUAGGGAAUGGUUGAGGUUUGUUAGUAGCUGGUCAAGGGAAAAAAAAAACAAAAGGAAGGGAAUCAGAUUCAGGGAUUUUCCUAAUUCCUCUCUCCCCUCUAUUCUUCUUUCUCUCCUGUCUAACGUUAGGGGGUGAAAUGAGAGGGCAGAUAAAGGGUAGGAAAAGAAGAACCCACAAAGUAGCACAGACCAGCUAUAGACUUGAAGACUUAAACAGCAACGGACUUUGCCUACUAAGCCAUUUCACCAGCCCCUUCUAUCUUCAUAUAGGAUUCCUUAAAGUUGUUAAUGUUUAAAUGCAUAUUAUAGUAGUAGUAUCAUAUGAAACUAACAGGACAAAAAAAAAAAAAACAUGGGUUUUUGUUUGGUUUGGUUUUGGGUUGUUGUUUUGUUUUGUUUUGACACAGGGUUUCUCUCUGUGUAGCCCCUUCCUGUCCUGGAACUCAUUCUGUAAACCAGGCUCAGAGAUUCCCCUGCCUGCCUCCCAAGCACUGGAAUUAAACUUCCAGCCCUAGAAAGAGAAGGGGCGCAGUGGUUCACAGUGGUUCUGCUAGUUCACACACUCAGUGCAGGUUUUUUUAUUGGGGGGGGGGGGUGGUCUCGAACCCACAGAAGUCCAUCUGUUUAUGCUUCCACGUGUUAGACCUAAGAGAGUGAGCUACUACACUCAGAUAUUAUUUUCAAAAUUCAAAUAAGGCAGAAGACAGACUAAAACAUAAGGGCCUGCUGCAAAAUCCAUCCUGAAGGGUGUUGUUUCCUGAUAGGGUGUUGUUUUCCUCUUAACAUUUUAAAAGAAAACAUGAAUUAACAAAUACAAGGUUUUUUUUUUCUUUUUUGCUAAUAUAAAAAUAUUUUAAUACAAUUUGUUUUGCUUACAUAAAAAUAUUUUUUAAAUGAAUAAAAGGGACAGGGUUUCUCAGAAGUAGCCACAAGGAGGCAGAAGUUAACUAAAAAAAUCCUGCAUCAGGCAGCAUCCACCCCUGUGACCUUUCCUUACAGGAGUUGCUGGGAGAUUGUAGUGACAAUUUUGGGAUUGGUUUUCUUUUAAAAACACAGAAAUGCUGUAAGAAUGUGGUUUUGUUUUAAUCCCAGGUGUGGGAUGUGGGGCUGCUUUAGAUCGUCCUCAGCAGCUGACUGUGAUUUGCCUCAUGCUCUAGAAGGGGUGUGAUUUUGUCAGAUGCAUAGUUUUCAAGAUUGCAUGACAUUUGGAAUUCUGGGGACUUUUCAGACUGUAUAUAAAUGCUAGAGCCCAAGAGGCAAGGUGUGUUGUUGGUUUGUUGAUGUUAGUUGGGGUUUCUUAAGUAGUUGUGCACAAAGAAGAAACAAGAAGAAAUUAGGUAGCUCGGUGGUGGUGGCGGCGCACGCCUUUAAUCCCAGCACUUGGGAUACAGAGGCAGGC